rnacentral:rRNA from 1 species
GCUUAGAGUUUGAUCAUGGCUCAGGAUGAACGCUGGCGGCGUGCCUAACACAUGCAAGUCGAGCGAAGCACUUUACUUUGAUUCUUCGGAUGAAGAGUUUUGUGACUGAGCGGCGGACGGAUGAGUAACCGUGGGUAACCUGCCUCAUACAGGGGGAUAACAGUUAGAAAUGACUGCUAAUACCGCAUAAGACCACAGCACCGCAUGGUGCAGGGGUAAAAACUCCGGUGGUAUGAGAUGGACCCGCGUCUGAUUAGCUAGUUGGUAAGGUAACGGCUUACCAAGGCGACGAUCAGUAGCCGACCUGAGAGGGUGACCGGCCACAUUGGGACUGAGACACGGCCCAAACUCCUACGGGAGGCAGCAGUGGGGAAUAUUGCACAAUGGGGGAAACCCUGAUGCAGCGACGCCGCGUGAGCGAAGAAGUAUUUCGGUAUGUAAAGCUCUAUCAGCAGGGAAGAAACUGACGGUACCUGACUAAGAAGCACCGGCUAAAUACGUGCCAGCAGCCGCGGUAAUACGUAUGGUGCAAGCGUUAUCCGGAUUUACUGGGUGUAAAGGGAGCGUAGACGGAUAGGCAAGUCUGAAGUGAAAGCCCGGGGCUCAACCCCGGGACUGCUUUGGAAACUGUUUAUCUAGAGUGCUGGAGAGGUAAGUGGAAUUCCUAGUGUAGCGGUGAAAUGCGUAGAUAUUAGGAGGAACGCCAGUGGCGAAGGCGGCUUACUGGACAGUAACUGACGUUGAGGCUCGAAAGCGUGGGGAGCAAACAGGAUUAGAUACCCUGGUAGUCCACGCCGUAAACGAUGACUGCUAGGUGUCGGGUGGCAAAGCC